rnacentral:rRNA from 1 species
AACGACUAGGUUAGGAAAUGAACUUAGUGUGAUGGUACCAUACCAGAAAGCCCCGGCUAACUACGUGCCAGCAGCCGCGGUAAUACGUAGGGGGCGAGCGUUAUCCGGACUUAUUGGGCGUAAAGCGUGUGUAGGCGGUUUAUUAAGUUUAAGAUUAAAGCCCGGGGCUUAACUCCGGUAAGUCUUAAAAACUGGUAGACUUGAGUACGGUAGAGGCAAACGGAAUUUCUAGUGUAGCGGUGAAAUGCGUAGAUAUUAGAAGGAACACCAGUGGCGAAAGCGGUUUGCUGGGCCGUUACUGACGCUGAGGCACGAAAGCGUGGGGAGCAAAUAGGAUUAGAUACCCUAGUAGUCCACGCCGUAAACGAUGAGUACUAAGUGUUGGGGUUACCCAGUGCUGAA